AGUGAACGCUGGCGGUAGGCCUAACACAUGCCAGUCGAACGGCAGCACAGUAAGAGCUUGCUCUUACGGGUGGCGAGUGGCGGACGGGUGAGGAAUACAUCGGAAUCUACUUUUUCGUGGGGGAUAACGUAGGGAAACUUACGCUAAUACCGCAUACGACCUACGGGUGAAAGCAGGGGAUCUUCGGAACUUGCGCGAUUGAAUGAGCCGAUGUCGGAUUAGCUAGUUGGCGGGGUAAAGGCCCACCAAGGCGACGAUCCGUAGCUGGUCUGAGAGGAUGAUCAGCCACACUGGAACUGAGACACGGUCCAGACUCCUACGGGAGGCAGCAGUGGGGAAUAUUGGGCAAUGGGCGCAAGCCUGAUCCAGCCAUACCGCGUGGGUGAAGAAGGCCUUCGGGUUGUAAAGCCCUUUUGUUGGGAAAGAAAAGCAGCAGGUUAAUACCCCGCUGUUCUGACGGUACCCAAAGAAUAAGCACCGGCUAACUUCGUG
rnacentral:rRNA from 1 species